AGGGCUGCAAAUGGGUUGGGUCGACCCGUGACCCGACCCGACCCAACCCGCUUAAGACCCGACCCGACCCGCAUUUUAGGACCCGCGGGGCCGGGUCGGGUCCUAAAUUUGGACCCGUUCUAUUUUUCGGGUCGGGUCGGGUCUGCCCAAUUUCGACCCGCACCCCGACCCGACCCGACCCAAUUUUUUGGAUCAUUUUUUUAAGACAUGCAACUCAUUGGGCCGCAGGCCCGCAGUGCUACUGACUACUGUGCUCUGGCCUCUGUGCUUUGCCCGCAGCCCGCAACGGAUGAUAUAUAAAUCAUCCGCUGGACCGCUUCACCUGUUGGACGGUUCGUUCCUCCCUUUUUCUCUCCCGUGCGGCGCAGCGGCUGUGCCCUAGCCCUAGAUCUCCCGUGCGGCGGAGGAUCAUCUGGAGGAGACGAGGACGUCGAGGAGUAGACCGCUUCCGUGCUCGGUGCCCUA
rnacentral:lncRNA from 1 species